rnacentral:rRNA from 1 species
CUUGAACGAAGGCGGCAGGCCUAACACAUGCAAGUCGAACGAAUGGAGGAAGGGUGAGUAAUGUCUGGGAAACGUCCUGAUGGAGGGGGAUAAAUACUGGAAACGGUAGGUAAUACCGCAUACAAUCGGAUGUGCCCCGAUGGGAGUAGCUAGUAGGUGGGGUAAAGGCUCACCUAGGCGACGGUCCCUAGCUGGUCUGAGCGGAUGACCAGCCACACUGGAACUUAGCCACGGUCCAGACUCCUCCGGGAGGCAGCAGUGGGGAAUAUUGUACAAUUGGCGCAAGCCUGAUGCAGCCAUGCCGCGUGUAUGAAGAAGGCCGUCGGGUUGUAAAGUACUUUCAGCGGGGAGGCGUUACCCGCAGAAGAAGCACCGGCUAACUCCGUGCCAGCAGCCGCGGUAAUUC